AUCUGAGCAGCCGCUUGCAUCUUCUGGUUUUCCCUUACGAUCCGCCAUAAUUCGGAGGGGCGCGCUCGACGAAAUUCGGGACAUCUGCGACGGCGGAGUCAGAGAUCUGAUGAAUAAAACGAGGGAGACGAUUAAGACGAGGUGUGAGAACAAUCCGUCAAACUGAGGGGCCAAUUGUGGGGGCUUGCGCUUGAUUAUCAUCUCCUCCUUCGCUCGUGCUGCCAUUGAAGCACCUCCACCCGCCUACAUUACUCGAGGCCUAUAUGCACCAAUUCAAAUCCCUACCAAAGCCUGAAGGCUGAAGAAAUAGGGUUUCUUCAAAACAAAAUCAAGAUAUAAUUGAGAAGAAGGAAUUUUGGUCCACUGUAUAUAUAUAUACAUACACAAAUUUACAAUUCCCCCUUUCACUAAAAGUUUAGGGAACAGAGAAACGAAAAGUGAAAAAUAUUAUAAUAUCAUAUCUCAAAAUGGAACUAUAGUCUCAAAACAGUGAACUCCGUCAAAUUCCGGAGCGAACCUCGGCUCCUUCCUUCUGAUCCGACGUCGAUCCUGCGGCGGCGGCGAUUUCUUCAUAGCUUCAUCGGACUUGUCGCACGGACCAUCGCUCUUCACGGCGGCUUGUUUAGGAUCGGCGGCAGGCGGAUUCCAAUUGGAGAAGAAGCCUACACUCUCGGCGCAGGGAGCGUCGAACGCUGAGGUAAUCGAUCUCGUCGUCAUGAACCAACUCUUUUUUAUCUUCUGAGGAAAUUAAUUGAGCUGCAAGUCACAGAGAAGGAGCAGAAUGAAGAGGAAAUAUAUAGGAGAAGUGCAGUUGGAGUAGGAGGAAAUUGGUAGAAGGAUCUGGAAGGUGCGAAAGAUAGCAUAUUGGAAAUUGGAUUGCCACGGCGAAGCCUUCAGGCAUCAUCCAGAUCUCUCUUUUCUCUACGAGUAUUUGUUUUGCACUAUUAUUAUUAUUAUUAUUUUUUUUUUUGCAUUUUCUCAGUCCAGAGAACUAUGUUGAUAUGAGCUGCUCCAUAUGAAUUUUAAUGAACAUAUUAGAUAUAAAGGUAUUUUGGAAAUUAAUGAUGAGAGAUAAAAUUUUGGAUAAAUUAAAAAAAAAAAUGUAGAUGAUGACAUAUUUGUGGUUAGGGUUAGUUAUACUUCAUAUAGUAAAAAUUUGUAU